ACAGCUAUAGCACAUUGGAUACACCAUUUCUCGUCUGAUCACCAAGUUAAGCAAUUUCAGCCCCGGUCAGUAUUUGGGAGGGUGACCACUUGGGAACACCUUGGUACUGUAGGCU